AUGGACUCGGAUCCUUUAAGGGUUUGUUUCCAUACUGUGGGACAGCAGGAUCUGAGUCCCACUAUGAGGGAUCAACCUUCAGAGAUCAGCUACAGGCGUCAUACUGCCCCACAGAAACAAGAACUUUCUAACCAAGGGCAUACCUACAAGACAGCAGGAAGUCCUAAGGCACGCAUCACACAUUCACAAAAGCAACCUACUCGGGUCCUCCCUGUGCACAUCUGGUGGUGGCUCCUCCUUCUACUUCUUCAUGUGCAGAUCUAUUGGUGGCUCCUCCUCCCCUCCAUAGAUCUUUAUAUUUUGCCAUUGCUAAAGAUUGUGAUGAUAAGGUUCACAGGAGAUGCAGGUACGUCUUCUGUCCAAAAAGGAUAA
rnacentral:rRNA from 1 species